GAUGAACGCUAGCGGCAGGCUUAAUACAUGCAAGUCGAGGGACAGCACAGGUAGCAAUACUGGGUGGUAACCGGCAAACGGGUGCGGAACACGUACACAACCUUCCUUUAAGUGGGGGAUAGCCCAGAGAAAUUUGGAUUAAUACCCCGUAAUACAGUUGAAUGGCAUCAGUUGAUUAUUAUAGCUACGGCGCUUAAUGAUGGUUGUGCGGCUGAUUAGAUAGUUGGCGGGGUAACGGCCCACCAAGUCUACGAUCAGUAGCUGAUGUGAGAGCAUGAUCAGCCACACGGGCACUGAGACACGGGCCCGACUCCUACGGGAGGCAGCAGUAAGGAAUAUUGGUCAAUGGACGCAAGUCUGAACCAGCCAUGCCGCGUGAAGGAUUAAGGUCCUCUGGAUUGUAAACUUCUUUUAUUUGGGACGAAAAAGGGCCUUUCUAGGUCAACUGACGGUACCAGAUGAAUAAGCACCGGCUAACUCCGUGCCAGCCGCCGCCGUAAUAC
rnacentral:rRNA from 1 species